UACGUAGGGUGCAAGCGUUAAUCGGAAUUACUGGGCGUAAAGCGUGCGCAGGCGGUCUACUAAGACAGGUGUGAAAUCCCCGGGCUUAACCUGGGAACUGCGCUUGUAACUGGUAGGCUUGAGUGUGGCAGAGGGGGGUGGAAUUCCAGGUGUAGCAGUGAAAUGCGUAGAUAUCUGGAGGAACACCGAUGGCGAAGGCAGCCCCCUGGGCUAACACUGACGCUCAUGCACGAAAGCGUGGGGAGCAAACAGG
rnacentral:rRNA from 1 species